rnacentral:rRNA from 1 species
UACGUAGGCAGCAAGCGUUGUUCGGAGUUACUGGGCGGUAAAGGGUGUGUAGGCGGUUGCUUAAGUUUGGUGUGAAAUCUCCCGGCUCAACUGGGAGGGUGCGCCGAAUACUGAGUGACUAGAGUGCGGGAGAGGAGAGUGGAAUUCCUGGUGUAAGCGGUGAAAUGCGUAGAUAUCAGGAGGAACACCGGUGGUGUGAGACGGCUCUCUGGACCGUAACUGACGCUGAGACACGAAAGCGUGGGUAGCAAACAGG